rnacentral:rRNA from 1 species
CAAGCAGCGAGGUAUGUGGUUUAAUUCGACGCAACGCGAAGAACCUUACCAGGGCUUGACAUCCCUGACCGCGUAUGAAAGUACGUUUUCACCCUCGGGUGACAGGGAGACAGGUGGUGCAUGGUUGUCGUCAGCUCGUGUCGUGAGAUGUUGGGUUAAGUCCCGCAACGAGCGCAACCCUUAUCCCUAGUUGCCAUCAGGUAAAGCUGGGAACUCUGGGGAGACUGCCGGUGAUAAACCGGAGGAAGGCGGGGAUGACGUCAAGUCCUCAUGGCCCUUACAUCCCGGGCUACACACGUGCUACAAUGGCAGGUACAGAGGGCUGCGAAGCCGCGAGGUGGAGCGAAUCCCAGAAAACCUGUCUCAGUCCGGAUUGAAGUCUGCAACUCGACUUCAUGAAGGCGGAAUCGCUAGUAACCGCGAAUCAGCAGGUCGCGGUGAAUACGUUCCCGGGCCUU